rnacentral:tRNA from 1 species
GGUGGGAUGGCGGAGAGGUCUAACGCACUUGUUUUGAAAACAAGCAUACCGCAAGGUAUCGGAGGUUCGAAUCCUCCUCCCACCG